GCCCACCUCACCAGUUUCUGCGCCAGGUGGAGCGCAGUGAGGGUCUCGGUGUGGGAGACGCCCCUCGACAGGGCUCUUGUGGCCAGACAGGUGGGAAGGCACUUAAGGAGAGCUGCUAUAAGAGGUACUUGGGGCCGCCUGUGGUUGUGCUGUGCCCCCAAAUCCAAGACCUCCAGUGACAUCCUGGCUCUCUGUGCGUGUGGAUGGGUCCUGUGCCGGUUGCCUUGCCUUGCGUUCCUUUGCAGUUCCCUGGAAUGAAUUGGACGGAGUGAAGCAUGCGGAAUCUGUGUUCUCUUUCCCCACAGAUGUCAGAAUUGGGUCUUCCCUUGUCCAGCUGGCUCUUGAGGAGUGGUGGCAUUUCCUGGGGUGUAGAAGAGUGCCUGAAGGGGAGCCCACGGUGGCUGUAGGCAGGACAUGGGACCAGAGAGGCCAAGAGGCUCGCCCAGUCACACAGCCAGAGAGGAGUUGAGAUGGCAAUGGUUUCCCUCAUGUCUGGGCUUCCUUCGGUCCAGGAAGCAGCUGCUUGAGAUUACAGGGCAAGGCAUUACCAGAAGAGUUUGCAGACCUGGAUCCCGUGCCUAAAACAGUAUGGCUCAGAAGGGCCUAAGAAGAGAGCUUGGGGCAUUGCUGGCACUUGGCAAAUAUUUGUUCAAUGAAUGGAUUUUUACAGAUGGGAAACAAGAAAUGACCAAAAUGUGUUCUCUCUUCAGGAGACCACUGAAAACCAGCACAUAUGGGUGGUUUUCUCUGUACUGCUCACGAAUUCAUCCCCGAACUUUGCUCAGCCUGUUUAUAUCUCCCUUCCCGACAACCAAACACGUUAGGUGUCCUUCGGCACUGAUUUCUUGAGGAAGCCACAUCUCCAGAGCCUCCUGACUUGUUCAGUGUGGCUGGCCUCACUCUGUCGUCCACUGCUGGUGGGAAUGCAGAACACUUGGGAAGAGUUCGGCAGUUCCCUACAAAAUUGUACACACCCUUACCAUACGAUCCUGCAAUUGCGCUCUGGGGCAUUUCCUCAAAUGAGCUGAAAACUUAAGUCCACGCAAACACCUGCACCCAGAUGUCUGAGCAACUCUAUUCAAAACGGCUACAACUUGCGAGCAACCGAGAUGUCUUUCGGUAGAUGAAUGCAUAUAUAAACUGUGCUGCAUCCAGAACAAUGAAAUAUUAUUCAGUGCUAAAAGCAAAUGAGCUACCGAGCCAUGAAAAGAUGUGGAGGAAACAUCAAUGCUUUUCACCAAGUGAGAGAAGCCAGCCUGAAAAGACCACAUCCUGUAUGCUUCCAGCCAUGUGACAUUCUGGAAAAGGCAAAGCUCGAAAACUUUCAGGAAAAAAAAAAAAAAAAAAAGCAGAAGGAAAUAUCCACAACCUCAGGAGAGGUGAAGAGUCCUUAGACUAUGACACCAAAAACAUGAUCCAUAAAGGAAAUAAUAAAUGGAUAAAUUACAGACUGGGAGAAAAUAUUUCCAAACCACAUAUGUAACAAAGGACUACUAUCUAAAAUGUAUAAAGAACUGUCCAAACUCUGCAGCAACAUGUGACACAGUCCAAUUCAAAAAUGGGCAAAAGAGGGGCGCCUGGGUGGUUCAGUCGGGUGGGUG